rnacentral:rRNA from 1 species
UACGUAGGGGGCAAGCGUUGUCCGGAAUCAUUGGGCGUAAAGAGCGUGUAGGCGGUCCGGUAAGUCGGCUGUGAAAGUCCAAGGCUCAACCUUGGGAUGCCGGUCGAUACUGCCGGACUAGAGUUCGGAAGAGGCGGGUGGAAUUCCCGGUGUAGCGGUGAAAUGCGCAGAUAUCGGGAGGAACACCUAUGGCGAAGGCAGCUCGCUGGGACGUUACUGACGCUGAGACGCGAAAGCGUGGGGAGCAAACAGG